CGGAAGAAGUAGUUGACCACUUCACUAUCUAACGAUUAAUUCAUUUUCAUCUUAUGCAUAUCCAUGUCUUCCUCUUAUCCCCUACCAUCAACGAAUUCAGCAGAAGCAUUAUAUUCAUCAUCAACACAUGGAAAACCAUAUGAAGAAGUGUUCUUAAGUUUCAGAGAAGAAGAUACUCGUGCUACCUUCACUUCACAUCUCUACGAAGCUCUUCGACGCGCUGGAAUAACCGUUUUUAGAGACGAUUGCCACGGUGAUUUUCGGAGAUCAAAACUAUUGAUUAGACUUUGACUCGCAAAAUAAGAAGUCACCACCGAACUUUAAUUUAUCCAAGGGAAGGGGAAAAGAUGGAAUAAAACCCACAAAUAAACAUGCAACGCUAAAGAAGCAAUAAAGCAAUGCAAUAAGAGAUCAAGGUACGGGGGUUGAUUAUGCAAAGGGAAUGUAUUAGCACCCUAAGCAUCUAUAGUACUCUAUAGGAACCUCUUGUAAUAUAUAUGUUUUUGGCUAAAAUUGUUUGCUUGUAAAUGAUUGGGAAGAUGAGAAAAGAAAUGUCUUUUUUAUUAA